AUACUUACCUGGCGACGGGGCCUCGUUCAUCACCGAGGACGAGCCCCCAGGGGCGAGGCGGGGGCAUUGCACUGCGCUCGCGUUGACCCUUGCCACUACUCCAAAAACUGGGGCAGAUGGUGUACGCAAAUUGC
rnacentral:snRNA from 1 species